ensembl:lncRNA novel transcript
AAUUCUUGAAGGGUUAAUUUACAAAUGGAUGCCUUAGGGUUGGGGUAGAGAUACCACAAAGGAUAGUGAAGUAACCUGUCACUUCCUAGCAGCCAUUUCCUUACCACAAGCACAUCUGAAGGAGAUCAAAAUCAGAAGCAAAACAUCCUGUACGGUCUGUGCUUUGUUUGAAUCAGUGGUUAAAGAUGUAGCUACUCACAGGGAAGAAGCAAGAUGAAUUAGUAUAUUGGUCUAACUUCAUCCUUCGCAGCUCCUGUUAAAGGCUCACCAUUAGCUGAGGCCAUUUAGAAGUCAGAGGACCCAGAAGACAUAAUGGACGUUAAAAAAGGUUCUUGCCAGGCCAUUAAAUUUUGAGUUCCAGAAAAGAAAAGGAAAAGUUCUCACACUGAUAAACUCUCCCUUUCCCAAACUCAUCUUCAACCCCCUUGCACUGCCUGUUUAAUUCAGCGUCAUCAGAAAAUAACCCCAAAUGUCUUGCACUCCUGGCUUCUGCUGAUAGAGCUAAGUUUAUAUAGACUCUUGGACAACAUUUCCAGGUUGCUGCUGGUCGAGCACCCUUUCACAGUUCAAGGAGAAAGGGCUUAAGACCCUGAAAAAAAAAAUUUAUAGGAAAAUUUCCCCAAAAGGUAAGCACAAUAAAAAGUCAAAAGGAGGUACGGGCUGAAGAAUGACUUCCUGCAAUGUGUAAUUUCAAGAAUUAGAGUUUGUCAAAGGUGUUAAAAAUAAAAUGAGUGUGAAUGUCCUACAAGGUUUAUGAGAAAGUUCAGAAGGAAAGUAAAGAAAGACUAAGCAGCAAGACUUUUAGUAUUCCUGUAUCCUGGAGAAGGCAGCACUCGAGCCACCAUCUUGGAAGUGAAGAUCAGGCCCUCAGCAGACACAAAACCUGCCAGUGCCAUGAUCUUGGAUUUUUCAACCUGCAGGACUAUUCAAUGAAAUUCCAAUGAAAAUCUCAAGUUAUUAUGUGAAUAUUGAAAAACGAACCCUAAAGUUUAUAUGGAGAGCCAAAAAAUGCAAAAGAGCCAGCACAUAUUGAAAGAGAAGAACAAAGUCAGAAGAUUGACACUACCUGACUUCAAGACUUAUGAUAAAGCUUCAGUAAUAAAGACAGUGUGGUAUGGACAAACUAAUAGAAAUACAGAUCAAUGGAACAGAACAGAGAACCCAGAAAUAGAUUCACAUAAAUAUAUUGUCAACUGACCUUUGACAAAUAAGAAAAAGCAAUACAGUAGAGCAAAAAUAGCCUUUUCACUAAACAAAUGAACAUCCACAUUCAAAAAAAAAAAAUGAAUCUAGAUGGAGACUUACAUGCUUCACAAAAAUUAACUCAAA